rnacentral:lncRNA from 1 species
CUCCUCCAUCCAAGGACCUCCAGUUCCCUCCCAGCACCAGAGUCAGUCAUCUUUGCUAGCUCAUUGCAGCAGCAGCAUCCGUCGAGGAAGCAAAUGGCGGUUACUCUGAAGCUCAGGGUCCUCGCCGUGGCGGCCACCGCCACAGUUGUGGCGUCCUCGCUGGUCGCCACAGCCUCUGCGGCCGAUGGACCAGCUCCCGCACCGGCCUCCAGCGCGUCGGCGGCCGCCCCUGUCCUCGCCAUGGCGUCCCUCACCGCGCUCGUCUUCGGCUACUUAUUCUGAGGGGCCAUGGGUUCAAGCACAAUUCUUUGCGGAUUUUCUUUGGUUCUUCUUGUGUUCAUACAUGAUAUGAGUACAUACUGUAAAUUUACAUGUUCUUUUCUGUUUUUAACAGAAAAAAUGUUGGGUGAAUGCAUUCGUUUAUUCGAUAAAGGAUGCUUUUUUAUGAUGUACUGUAAGAUGAAAGGGAUACAAACAUAUCAAGCGCACACCCCGCGUCUGUAUGAUUAAUAUACACACAACCAACAUGUAGGCAUAAACAAAGGAUCACACCAGAAAAUAGUAAAGUCAUAUAAGACCGAUGGUAUGCCUAAAUUAAGGAACAUUUUAAAAUAUUAAAAAAAAAUAAUACUUAGGGGGAUCC